rnacentral:rRNA from 1 species
CGAGAGGUCCCAACGUUAUUCGGAAUCACUGGGCUUACAGAGUUCGUAGGCGGUUCUACAAGUGGGGUGUGAAAGCCCUCGGCUCAACCGAGGAACUGCGCUCCAAACUGUAGAACUAGAGGGAGAUAGAGGUGAGCGGAACUGAUGGUGGAGCGGUGAAAUGCGUUGAUAUCAUCAGGAACACCGGAGGCGAAGGCGGCUCACUGGGUCUCUUCUGACGCUGAGGAACGAAAGCUAGGGGAGCAAACGGGAUUAGAUACCCCGGUAGUCCUAGCCGUAAACGAUGAGCACUGGGCCGGAGCUCUGCACAGGGUUUCGGCCGUAGCGAAAGUGUUAAGUGCUCCGCCUGGGGAGUAUGGUCGCAAGGCUG